rnacentral:rRNA from 1 species
GACGAACGCUGGCGGCGUGCUUAACACAUGCAAGUCGAACGGCAAGGCCCUGCUUUUGUGCGGUGCUCGAGUGGCGAACGGGUGAGUAACACGUGAGUAACCUGCCCUUGACUUUGGGAUAACUUCAGGAAACUGGGGCUAAUACCGGAUCGGAUCUCCUGCUGCAUGGUGGGGGUUGGAACGUUUCGGCGGGUGGGGAUGGACUCGCGGCUUAUCAGCUUGUUGGUGGGGUAGUGGCUUACCAAGGCUUUGACGGGUCGCCGGCCUGAGAGGGCGACCGGGCACAUUGGGACUGAGAUACGGCCCAGACUCCUACGGGAGGCAGCGGUGGGGAAUAUUGCACAGUGGGCGGGAGCCUGAGGCAGCAACGCCGGGUGCGGGAUGACGGCCUUCUGGUUGUAAACCGCUUUCGCCUGUGACGAAGCGUUAGUGACGGUAAUGGGUAAAGAAGCACCAGCUAACUACGUG